GUGCGCGACAGCGACCCUGGCGACCCCUACAGGCAGUAUGUCGUACAACUCGUCGACGACUUCAAGAUCUCCGGAGUGAAUGGCAUUCACGUGUGCAUGGUGUUUGAGGUGCUCGGACACAACCUGCUGAAGCUGAUCAUUCGCUCCAACUACCAGGGCAUUCCCGUGCAGAACGUCAAGACCAUCAUACGGCAGGUGCUUCACGGACUGGACUACC